rnacentral:rRNA from 1 species
UACGGAGGGUGCGAGCGUUACCCGGAAUCACUGGGCGUAAAGGGCGUGUAGGCGGAUCAGUAAGUCCGGCUUUGAAGACCACCGCUCAACGGUGGGCAUGGGUUGGAUACUGGUGAUCUGGACCUCUGGAGAGGUGGCUGGAAUUCCUGGUGGAGCGGUGGAAUGCGUAGAUCCCAGGAGGAACACCGAUGGCGAAGGCAGGCCACUGGACAGAAGGUGACGCUGAGGCGCGAAAGUGUGGGGAGCGAACCGG